UACGGAAGGCAGCAGUGGGGAAUAUUGCACAAUGGGCGCAAGCCUGAUGCAGCCAUGCCGCGUGUAUGAAGAAGGCCUUCGGGUUGUAAAGUACUUUCAGCGGGGAGGAAGGCGGUGAAGUUAAUAGCUUCACCGAUUGACGUUACCCGCAGAAGAAGCACCGGCUAACUCCGUGCCAGCAGCCGCGGUAAUACGGAGGGUGCAAGCGUUAAUCGGAAUUACUGGGCGUAAAAGCGCACGCAGGCGGUCUGUCAAGUCGGAUGUGAAAUCCCCGGGCUUAACCUGGGAACUGCAUUCGAAACUGGCAGGCUAGAGUCUUGUAGAGGGGGUAGAAUUCCAGGUGUAGCGGUGAAAUGCGUAGAGAUCUGGAGGAAUACCGGUGGCGAAGGCGGCCCCUGGGACAAGACUGACGCUCAGGUGCGAAAGCGUGGGGAGCGAAACAGGAUUAGAUACC
rnacentral:rRNA from 1 species